AUGCUCAAAAUUCUCCAAGCCAGGCUUCAGCAAUACAUGAAUCGUGAACUCCCUGACGUUCAAGCUGGUUUUAGAAAAGGCAGAGGAACCAGAGAUCAAAUUGCCAACAUCCACUGGAUUGUGGAAAAAGCAAGAGAGUUCCAGAAAAACAUCUAUUUCUGCUUUAUUGACUGUGCCAAAGCCUUUGACUGUGUCGAUCACAAUAAACUGUGGAAAAUUCUGAAAGAGAUGGGAAUACCAGACCACCUGACCUGCCUCUUAAGAAAUCUGUAUGCAGGUCAGGAAGCAACAGUUAGGACUGGACAUGGAACAACAGACUGGUUCCAAAUAGGAAAAGGAGUACGUCAAGGCUGUUUAUUGUCACCCUGCUUAUUUAACUUAUAUGCAGAGUACAUCAUGAGAAAUGCUGGAUUGGAAGAAACACAAGCUGGAAUCAAGAUUGCCGGGAGAAAUAUCAAUAACCUCAGAUAUGCAGAUGACACCACCCUUAUGGCAGAAAGGGAAGAGGAGGUAAAAAGCCUCUUGAUGAAAGUGAAAGAGGAGAGUGAAAAAGCUGGCCUAAAGCUCAAUGUUCAGAAAACGAAGAUCAUGGCAUUUGGUCCCAUCACUUCAUGGGAAAUAGAUGGGGAAACAGUGGAAACUGUCAGACUUUAUUUUUCGGGCUCCAAAAUCACUGCAGAUGGUGAUUGCAGCCAUGACAUUAAAAGACACUUACUCCUUGGAAGAAAAGUUAUGACCAACCUAGAUAGUAUAUUGAAAAGCAGAGACAUUACUUUGCGGACUAAGGUCUGUCUAGCCAAGGCUAUGGCUUUUCCUGUGGUCAUGUAUGGAUGUGAGAGUUGGACUGUGACGAAGGCUGAGCGCCGAAGAAUUGAUGCUUUUGAACUGUGGUGUUGGAGAAGACUCUUGAGAGUCUAUUGGACUGCAAGGAGAUCCAACCAGUCCAUUCUGAAGGAGAUCAACCCUGAGAUUUCUUUGGAAGAAAUGAUGCUAAAGCUGAAGCUCCAGUACUUUGGCCACCUCAUGCGAAGAGUUGACUCAUUGGAAAAGACUCUGAUGCUGGAAGGGAUUGGGGGCAGGAAGAGAAAGGGACGACCGAGGAUGAGAUGGCUGGAUGGCAUCACCGACUCGAUGGACGUGAGUCUGAGUGAACUCUGGGAGUUGGUGAUGGACAGGGAGGCCUGGCGUGCUGCGAUUCAUGGAGUCGCAAAGAGUCGGACACGACUGAGUGACUGA
rnacentral:lncRNA from 1 species